GAGGCAUUGCAAGUUCUGAGGCAGCCUGGUCUGCACACAAGGUCAAGCUGGGCCACAUGGUGACAUCCUAUCUCAAAACAUCUAGCAACAGAUGUGUGUGUUUGUGUGGGUGUGUUUGUGUAUGUGUGUGAGUGCCCAUGUGUGUUGUGUGUGUGUGUGUUUCUGCAACCUGUUCCCAUAUGUAGAAAUGAUGUUCUGUGGUUCCUUUUGCUUCUCCUGAUUAUAAUACAGUUGUAAAUAUUUCUUCUCCACACAUUUAGAGCCAGGUGUAAGUGAGGGAAAUCUGUGACUCUGAAGAUUCUAGCACCCCUCCCCCCUACACACACCGUGGAGAGUCUGAGCCCCUCAUUACAGUCUGGUAUAAGGAGAAGAGUGGAGCUCUAAUACAAUAGAAAAGAAAUAGACGAAAUCGCAUCAGCCUGGGCUCCAGGUGCUUUCCCAAGCACUUUUGACUCAAGAAAUAAUUUAGCCUUGGGAUACUCUGCUAAGUUAUAUCAAUAAAGAGAAUGAAAGCAGAGAGGGACUCUGUCAGCUCGGACUUGAGUCGGCUCCUGGAUCCCGAUGCUUAUCUCAUCACUGACUAUGGCGGGUUUUGAGCAAGCAUGCUGUGCUAAUGGAGGGGUUAUUACAGAGUCACUAAAAUCAUGUUUGUUUAUAGGCUUUUGUAGUUAAGUUUAAGGUUAUCAGACAACCCAGGAUGGUGUAUGAUACCGGACCAUCUUGGGACAGAGAUCUAAAUGCAGACUUCAAAACUACAGACUGAAAAUUUAGAAGAUGCACAUCAAACAAGCUGUGGUCCCUUCUGAGCCUCAUCGUUCGAGACUCAUCAUCAGUUGACCUCAAAAUACAAGUUUUGUCAAGUGCCAGAUAAAUUCGUAUUUGCUGUGAUCAGACAAGUGGUCUUUAAUAAAAAAUGCAGACUUCCCUCCAAAUUUUGUCAAAAUUGUGUAAAUCAAUGUCUCCUUUUUAUAUUAAGUGUAUAAAAUUCAAAUCCUUU
rnacentral:lncRNA from 1 species